GUUCGGUGUGGGCGCGAUUCGCGCCAAUUUCGGGCAAAUAGGGAUCGAGGACCCCGUGCCCCCAACGUUUUCGGCAUCCCCGAGUCGGGCGAGCGUUCGGGCGCCGCAACGAGAGCGCCACGGCAACCGAAUCGGAACACGAACGACGCCUUGGGUUCACCCGGAGCCGUACGAACGGGCAGUACCGGGACGAACGAUGUUACUUGGGAGAACGAAUUCCAUCAACGUAGGUACGUAACACAGGAACCGAACAAACAGACGAGGCUAAAGUCGCUCUCGCACCGACGAUGAAGAGAACACACGGAAGGAC
rnacentral:misc_RNA from 1 species